CACAGAUAACACUUUACAAUAUAUAACACUUUAUAUAUAAGCAAUGCACACUUUUUAAACAAUACUACUAUACAUGCAGCGCUGCAAUAAACAAAAAUAAGAUUUAUUCUACUGUGUCCAAACUGUGCAUUCAAUACAGUGACUAAAUGUGGUCACUCAGUGGGACUGCUAUACCCACUAUAUACAACUUACCGACAAGAUGGGACUCUAACCCAGAAAAUAUAAAUG